rnacentral:rRNA from 1 species
AGAAUCAACGCUGGCGGCGUGCCUAACACAUGCAAGUCGAACGAGAAAGUGGGAGCAAUCCCACGAGUAAAGUGGCGCACGGGUGAGUAACACGUGACUAACCUACCCUUGAGUGGGGGGAUAACCUAGGGAAACCUGGGCUAAUACCGCAUAAUACCUACGGGUCAAAGGAGCAAUUCGCUUUAGGAGGGGGUCGCGGCAGAUUAGUUAGUUGGCGGGGUAAUGGCCCACCAAGACAGUGAUCUGUAUCCGGCCUGAGAGGGCGCACGGACACACUGGAACUGAAACACGGUCCAGACUCCUACGGGAGGCAGCAGUGGGGAAUUUUGCGCAAUGGGGGAAACCCUGACGCAGCAACGCCGCGUGGAGGAUGAAGCCCCUUGGGGCGUAAACUCCUUUCGAUCGGGAAGAUAAUGACGGUACCCAUAGAAGAAGCCCCGGCUAACUUCGCGCCAGCAGCCGC